CUUUUACAGAGUUUAGGAACACGAGUCAGCAGCUUCAGAUGAUAGCUUUCUUAGAAGAGCAGCAGUACUGCCCUGACCACAAAGUACACAGCAGGGCAUUCUUGAGCUUUGUGUUUAUUCUCUAGCUGUGCAUGUUUUAUUAAUUGGUCUGCAAAGCUCAGUUCUGCUCCCGAGGCAGGCAUUCUACUGUCCCAGAGAACAGCUGGACUUCCUCAGAGUCUGCAAGCAAGCCAGGUCGCCUUUCUUUCCCCUCAGCCAUAUAAGAAUGGUUGGAGAACUUGGUUUUUCUCACCGCUAAGGGGCUACCAGACACCUCUCUGCUUUCCCUGAUCUUUCCUUGGACUUGUGUGUGUGUGUGUGUGUGUGUGUGUGUGUGUGUCAUGUCUUUCUAAUCACCUUUGAAAGACAUUUCUUUCUGUCUUGAGUGUAUCUCUUGUGUUCCCUCUGACAGUUAAAUACAUUAUUUAGCUUCUUCCUGUAUUGUUUUUUUUUUGUUUUUCUCUUUUGACGGUGAAAAAUAGAGGGGGAAAGCUUGCUACGGAAACCUUGCCCAUUGUUUCCCCGUGCCUAGCACAGCGGUGUGCAACUCAAAACUUUUAUUCAGUGGAUGGAUGGAUGAAUGGAUUGAUGACUACACGUUUGUGAGGAAGGUGUGGAAUCCAGUGGAAGAUGCAGCACAAGCAUGAAAGGAACAACUCUAGGCAACAGGAAGUUACAUAACACUUCAGUAGGCUAUGUAAAAAGCCUGACAUAUGGUCUCGGAUCAGCUGCCUUCUCUUCCUUACCUGGACAUGGCUGCGUUGUUAGUACUCCGCACUGUGCUAUGUCGCCUGGAAGAUACAAAUGUGUUUAGGUCAUGCUAUGUGCCCUCCUGUUGUCCGUGAUCUAACUGGAGAGAAAGACCAUGGCCAUCGCUGAACUGCAAAUUGUGGCCAGGACUGCCUGGGUCAUGCAUUCCCCACCUUGGAGUCAUAGGGAAGUUGUCGACUUGCAUAUCAAGUGGGUCGGAACAGAAGCAGUUAGUUUCCGUAAGGCAGAAGGACUGUAUUCCGGUGAGUCAUGAGUUUCCAUGGGUGUUGGUCUGAGCUGUUUUGGGCCUCUGGUCCA
rnacentral:lncRNA from 1 species